UCCCGUCCGACCUCGAGGCGA
rnacentral:misc_RNA from 1 species